UCGAAACCUGCAAACAGCAGAACGACCCGCGAACCCGUUUACCAACCCCCGAGGGCGUCCCCCUCGGAGCCGAGACGCGCCGCCUCCCCCUCCCCGUAAAAAAGGGCGGCGGGACGGCGCGCGACGGCAAGUACCCAAACACCGGCGCGGGUUGCGCCAAGGACUAUGAAAUUCUACCGCGCCCCGCGGCCCCGGGCGACCGGGCGCGAGGGCGCGUCGAAAGAUCUAUAACAGAACGACUCUCGGCAACGGAUAUCUCGGCUCUCGCAUCGAUGAAGAACGUAGCGAAAUGCGAUACUUGGUGUGAAUUGCAGAAUCCCGUGAACCAUCGAGUCUUUGAACGCAAGUUGCGCCCGAAGCCAUCCGGCCGAGGGCACGCCUGCCUGGGCGUCACGCAUCGCGUCGCCCCCUCCCCCCUUCGGCUCAGCCGAAGCCGGGCGGAGAGGGGCGGAGUAUGGCCCCCCGUGCGCCCCCGCGCGCGGCCGGCCUAAACACGGAGCCCGUGGGCGCGAGCGCCGCGACGUUUGGUGGUUGAACCUCGAGCAUCGCGUCGUGCGCCGGAGCGUCCCCGGAGACCUCGAAGGACCCUUAGGCGCCAUCGGCAGCCUACCCUUGCGACCCC
rnacentral:rRNA from 1 species